rnacentral:lncRNA from 1 species
AGGCCUUGUUCAAGUCGGUGUAGUCCACACACAUACGCCAUUUUCCGUUGGCCUUCUUUACGAGGACUAUGUUGGCGAGCCAGUCCGGGUAGGAGACCUCCCGUAUGAAGCCGGCUCCGAGGAGUUUGUCCACCUCCUCGGCCGCAGCUCGUUGUCGCUCGGGGGGGGAGCCUCUUUUCUUCUGCUUUACAGGCUUGCUGGUUGGUUUCACCUGAAGUCGGUGGACCAUGACCUCAGGGUCAAUUCCUGGCACGUCCGCGGGCGACCAGGCGAAGACAUCGGCAUUAUCCC